UCAAAAUCUAACCAUAGCCUAAUGUUUAAUCAAAUUCUAAAACUAUUUCAAAAUAGACUUGGAUUCUAGAAUCAACCUAAUUCUAAUCAAACCUAAUUAAUUCCAAUUAAACUAAAUUUAAGUUCCAAUUAUAAUCUAAGAGUCAUACUAAAGAAAUUAAGCUAAAACCUAAAAAUCCUAAUUAACCCUAAAAUCUAGUUAACCUAAUCAUGUGAUUAAUGGAAACUAAUCCUAAUUCUAAAACCUAAGUAAGCUCAUUAACAUGAAUUAAAUCAAAUAAUCAAGGGUGCAUAACCUGGAAUUAGUGGUAUGCAUGGCAAAUGGCGGCAGGAGCCCAUCCUUAGGCCCAAUGGCCAAUGCUGAGAGAGUUUUGAAGCUGUUCAAAAACAUAAAAAAACUUCUCGGACCUGAAGCCCAACGGAGCCAGUGGUGAGAUCUAAAACUGAAAUGUAGGGGGUGCGAAUAGAGGAUGGCCUACAACAGAUGGAAACUUGUUGGGCCUAAGGCCCAAACUGAGAUGUCAAGCCAACAACCCGGUCCCUCUAACCUAAUGAAAAAAGACAAAGCGGUAAGGAAACAAGAACUCCAUGACGAACGCGGCCAUGUACACAUAUGUGUGAUUCGAAAACGAAGGCGCAUCUCGGGAGUUCGUAUUCGGUGGCGUCACAUUCGUUGGAUUUUUCGUCGAAUCAACAGAAAGGAAACCAUGGCUCCAUGAAAACAAUGAGAGAAACACAUAUGCAUAAAAAGAACUCACCGGAGUAGGAUCGUGAUGUAGUGGCUUAAUAGAAAGGACGUUGAUAGUUGGAGUUCAUAGCUUCCCUCUUCUUCCUCGCAAUCUCCAAAGAUAAGUGAUGUUGUGCAGAGUGUGAAAAUGAUGAUGAUGGAGAUGCAUAGGAUUUUAGGGAUUGGAGAGAGAUGACUGAAUUUGAAGAUUGAAGGAUUCAAGCUCGUGAAUCUCAUAUGUAGAUUGAUCCAAGCUCGUGAAUCUCAAAUGCAGAUUGAUCCAAGCUCGUGAAUCUCAUAUGUAGAUUGAUCCAAGCUCGUGAAUCUCAAAUGCAGAUUGAUCCAAGCUCGUGAAUCUCAAAUGCAGAUUGAUCCAAGCUCGUGAAUCUCAUAUGUAGAUUGAAGGAUCCCAUUGCAGAGUGAAGGAUUCCGUUGCAAAGUGAAGGAUUUUGUUGGAGAGUAGGAUUUUAGUUGAAGAAUGAAGGUGAGUCCCUCUUAUACUUCUCUGAUCUUUCUUAUUAUGUUACUUUCUUCACCUCUUCUGUUAUAGUUGUUAGGCUGGUUCAGUUAGGCUGUUAGAAGUGGUUCAGAAGUUAGUUAGAGCUAACAGAGAUUAACUCUGUUAGUAUGAAUCAGAGCCAAAACAAUUUUAGUUACUCUGUUGGUUUAGGGAGUUGUGAAAGUUUGUUAGCUGGAAUUGGGAGAAAAAGUUGAUUAAAACGGAAACUCCAUGGCCAUGGUUAAAAGUAUAAACAAAGCUUGUUUGCACAUGAAGUAACUUUGGAUGGAACAUGAAAAAAAAUGGAGAAUAAAGCAUGAAGAGUGAGGAUUAUAAGGUUUAGGGUUUUAGGGAAAGUGUGUUGACUUUGGUCAAAGUUGACCAAAAAGUCAACUAUUGACCAAAGUCAACCUUUGGUCAAAUUUAUGUUUUUUUUUGUAACUUUUGUAUGGGUGAUGUAAACGAUAUUGUAUGGAUUUAAUGGGCCUUUGUGAAUGAAACUAGUUCUUUGGAUUUAAUGAAAUAAAUUUCUCAUUUUCAA